GACGAACGCUGGCGGCGUGCCUAACACAUGCAAGUCGAGCGGAGAUAUAUUGUAGCUUGCUACAAUAUAUCUUAGCGGCGGACGGGUGAGUAACGCGUGAGUAAUCUGCCCUAUACAGGGGAAUAACACAGGGAAACUUGUGGUAAUACCGCAUAAGAUUACGGUAUGGCAUCAUAAAGUAAUCAAAGGAGAAAUCCGGUAUGGGAUGAACUCGCGUCCGAUUAGCUAGUUGGUGGGGUAGAGGCCUACCAAGGCGACGAUCGGUAGCCGAACUGAGAGGUUGAUCGGCCACAUUGGGACUGAGACACGGCCCAGACUCCUACGGGUGGCAG
rnacentral:rRNA from 1 species